rnacentral:tRNA from 1 species
GCGGGAAUGGCGGAAUUGGCAGACGCGCUAGGUUGAGGGCCUAGUGGUAGCAAUACCGUGCAGGUUCAAGUCCUGUUUCCCGCA